rnacentral:tRNA from 1 species
UGGGCCGUAGCCAAGCGGUAAGGCACAAGGUUUUGGUCCUUGCAUACGUAGGUUCGAAUCCUACCGGCCCAA